rnacentral:miRNA from 1 species
CCUGCCUGCAGAGAGGAGCUAUCCUCUCCAGGGCCUCUUUUCUGUGGAGAGCUGAACACUGGAUGGGAUGACCUGCCUACAGAGAGG